UACAGAGGGUGCGAGCGUUAAUCGGAAUUACUGGGCGUAAAGCGUGCGUAGACGGUUACGUAAGUCGGAUGUGAAAUCCCCGGGCUCAACCUGGGAAUUGCAUUCGAGACUGCGCAGCUGGGGUGCGGAAGAGGGAAGCGGAAUUUCCGGUGUAGCGGUGAAAUGCGUAGAUAUCGGGAAGAACACCCGUGGCGAAGGCGGCUCUCUGGGACGGUACUGACGCUGAGACGCGAAAGCGUGGGGAGCGAACAGG
rnacentral:rRNA from 1 species